rnacentral:rRNA from 1 species
AUUGAACGCUGGCGGCAUGCUUUACACAUGCAAGUCGAACGGUAACAGGCCUUCGGGUGCUGACGAGUGGCGAACGGGUGAGUAAUGUAUCGGAACGUGCCCAAUCGUGGGGGAUAACGUAGCGAAAGUUACGCUAAUACCGCAUAAGCCCUGAGGGGGAAAGUGGGGGACCGCAAGGCCUCACGCGAAUGGAGCGGCCGAUGUCAGAUUAGCUAGUUGGUGGGGUAAAGGCCCACCAAGGCGACGAUCUGUAGCGGGUCUGAGAGGAUGAUCCGCCACACUGGGACUGAGACACGGCCCAGACUCCUACGGGAGGCAGCAGUGGGGAAUUUUGGACAAUGGGCGCAAGCCUGAUCCAGCCAUGCCGCGUGCGGGACGAA